rnacentral:misc_RNA from 1 species
UCUCCGUUGGUGAACCAGCGGAGGGAUCAUUACCGAGUUUUCAACUCCCAAACCCCAUGUGAACCUAUAUCUCCCUACCGUUGCUUCGGCGGGUUCUCUCUCCCCGAGUAUCGCCCCGGAACAGGAAGCCCCGUCUAGGGGGGACCGGACCGGAACCAGGCGCCCGCCGGGGGACCCAAACUCUUGUAUCUCUCACCUUAGGGCAUGUCUGAGUGGAAUCAUACAAAAUGAAUCAAAACUUUCAACAACGGAUCUCUUGGUUCUG